AGAGUUUGACUCCUGGCUCAGGACGAACGCUGGCGGCGUGCUUAACACAUGCAAGUCGAGCGGUAAGGCCCUUCGGGGUACACGAGCGGCGAACGGGUGAGUAACACGUGAGCAAUCUGCCCAUCACAUCGGGAUAACUCCGGGAAACCGGUGCUAAUACCGAAUAUGACCACUUCAGGCAUCUGACGGUGGUGGAAAGUUCCGGCGGUGAUGGAUGAGCUCGCGGCCUAUCAGCUUGUUGGUGGGGUAAUGGCCCACCAAGGCUUCGACGGGUAGCCGGCCUGAGAGGGUGACCGGCCACACUGGGACUGAGACACGGCCCAGACUCCUACGGGAGGCAGCAGUGGGGAAUAUUGGACAAUGGGCGAAAGCCUGAUCCAGCAACGCCGCGUGAGGGAUGACGGCCUUCGGGUUGUAAACCUCUUUCAGCAGGGACGAAGCGAAAGUGACGGUACCCGCAGAAGAAGCACCGGCCAACUACGUG
rnacentral:rRNA from 1 species